rnacentral:rRNA from 1 species
CCUACGUGCGGCAGCAGUGGGGAAUAUUGGACAAUGGGCGAAAGCCUGAUCCAGCCAUGCCGCGUGUGUGAAGAAGGCCUUCGGGUUGUAAAGCACUUUCAGUGGGGAAGAAAGCCUUGGGGCUAAUACCCUCGAGGAAGGACAUCACCCACAGAAGAAGCACCGGCUAACUCCGUGCCAGCAGCCGCGGUAAUACGGAGGGUGCGAGCGUUAAUCGGAAUUACUGGGCGUAAAGCGCGCGUAGGCGGUCUGAUAAGCCGGUUGUGAAAGCCCCGGGCUCAACCUGGGAACGGCAUCCGGAACUGUCAGGCUAGAGUGCAGGAGAGGAAGGUAGAAUUCCCGGUGUAGCGGUGAAAUGCGUAGAGAUCGGGAGGAAUACCAGUGGCGAAGGCGGCCUUCUGGACUGACACUGACGCUGAGGUGCGAAAGCGUGGGUAGCAAACAGGAUUAGAUACCCCAGUAGU